UGGUAAGUAGUUUAAACAAAAUAAAUGAUUUCGACUCAUUAGAUUAUGAUCACCAUACUAACCAA
rnacentral:tRNA from 3 species